UAAGGAAUAUUGGUCAAUGGACGCAAGUCUGAACCAGCCAUGCCGCGUGGAGGAUGAAGGUCCUCUGGAUUGUAAACUUCUUUUAUCUGGGACGAAACACUUCUUUUCUAAGAGGCCUGACGGUACCAGAUGAAUAAGCACCGGCUAACUCCGUGCCAGCAGCCGCGGUAAUACGGAGGGUGCAAGCGUUAUCCGGAUUCACUGGGUUUAAAGGGUGCGUAGGUGGGUAUGUAAGUCAGUGGUGAAAUCACCGAGCUUAACUUGGGAACUGCCAUUGAUACUAUAUAUCUUGAAUACCGUAGAGGUAAGCGGAAUAUGUCAUGUAGCGGUGAAAUGCUUAGAUAUGACAUGGAACACCAAUUGCGAAGGCAGCUUACUAUGCGGUGAUUGACACUGAGGCACGAAAGCGUGGGUAGCAAACA
rnacentral:rRNA from 1 species